rnacentral:rRNA from 1 species
CCUACGGGAGGCAGCAGUGGGGAAUAUUGCACAAUGGGCGAAAGCCUGAUGCAGCAACGCCGCGUGAGCGAUGAAGGCCUUCGGGUCGUAAAGCUCUGUCCUAAGGGAAGAAUAAUUGACGGUACCCUAGGAGGAAGCCCCGGCUAACUCCGUGCCAGCAGCCGCGGUAAUACGGGGGGGGCAAGCGUUGUUCGGAAUUACUGGGCGUAAAGGGCGCGCAGGCGGUGUGGCAAGUCUCUCGUGAAAUCCCAUGGCUCAACUGUGGAACUGCGGGGGAUACUGCCGGACUUGAGUCCGGGAGAGGGGAGUGGAAUUCCCAGUGUAGCGGUGAAAUGCGUAGAUAUUGGGAGGAACACCAGUGGCGAAGGCGGCUCCCUGGACCGGUACUGACGCUGAGGCGCGAAAGCUAGGGGAGCAAACGGGAUUAGAUACCCCGGUAGUCCUAGCCGUAAACGAUGAGCACUUGGUGUGGCGGGUAUCGACCCCUGCCGUGCCGAAGCUAACGCAUUAAGUGCUCCGCCUGGGGAGUACGGUCGCAAGGCUGAAACUCAAAUGAAUUGACGG